CGAUAGCAGAGUAGCUGGAUUUCACACUCAAAGUGUUGAGGCCUAUUCUUUGAUGCAGGGUAGAAUACCAAAGUGUGUACCAGUUUGAGAAUAAGCAUGCGCGGUCUUCUUCAAACCGAAGGGGAGAGCCCCAGUAAGAUAAGAUUGAAUUCAUCUCGGAGCUUUGGAAUAAGAAGAUGGACCAAGAACCCACCAACUUAAUUGUGAGACGAGCAGCUAAAGUAGUUACUAGACCCAUUAUAGAGAUCGGAGGAAGAGAGUUCACUUUCGUUCGAAGGUGGUCCAUGAGCUCACUCUGGUUAGAAUGAAUCCCGACAAACAACAUAAGAUAGCUGUCAAUACUCCUUUUUUGCUUACUUUGGAGAUCCCGAUCGUCCGGAGAAGAUGUAAAGACAUACAGUCCACCUAAACUACAAUUUCAACAGCGAGCGAUAUAGGUACCGUUGUAUUUUAUCUAAGCACGCUAGUCGAAGGAAGAAGUAGUCGAAGAAUAGGUUCCACCAGGCUGUAAUAGACGAUUUGAGCCGGCCUUUUGGUACCAUUUCGAAGGUGAUUACUUACGCAUUUCAGGAAAGCAAUGAAGAGAAGGGCAUAUAUAUCCUUGGCCCUGCCGUACGACGAAAGCUGUUCUUUAGAAAUCAAGUGAACCAUUGGU
rnacentral:lncRNA from 1 species